AGGACGAACGCUGGCGGCGUGCUUAACACAUGCAAGUCAAGCGGAAAGGCCCUUCGGGGUACUCGAGCGGCGAACGGGUGAGUAACACGUGAGUAAUCUGCCCCUAGCUCUGGGAUAGCUCCGGGAAACCGGGAUUAAUACUGGAUACGACCACCUUAGACAUCUUUUGUGGUGGAAAGAAUUUCGGCUAGGGAUGAGCUCGCGGCCUAUCAGCUUGUUGGUGGGGUAACGGCCUACCAAGGCGACGACGGGUAGCCGGCCUGAGAGGGCGACCGGCCACACUGGGACUGAGACACGGCCCAGACUCCUACGGGAGGCAGCAGUGGGGAAUAUUGCGCAAUGGGCGAAAGCCUGACGCAGCGACGCCGCGUGGGGGAUGAAGGCCUUCGGGUUGUAAACCCCUUUCAGCAGGGACGAAGCGAAAGUGACGGUACCUGCAGAAGAAGCGCCGGCUAACUACGCGCCAGCAGCCGC
rnacentral:rRNA from 1 species